CUUUUUUUUAAUGUUUUUAGUUUGCCCUUAUUGCAUAAUGGACAUGCACUAUUCAACUCUUAAUAUAUUGAUAAAUUUGAUAAUGAUUAUUAUUAUCUUACAUUACAAUUUACCUAUAACAUGUAUAAUACCUGUUAGCUCUUCUGCAAUACAUGUGUCUUGCUUAUUUUCUAAUGUUUCAUGUAAUCCCUGAAGGUCGUUCAUUUGUUUAGCUUUAACGUGCAAACCAUGUGCUAAAUUCAAAUGGUGUUCACUACGGAUAAGGGUGUGUCAUUGUUAUUAUUCAUAUCUUUCUCCAAAGGUUCAUCAUCAUAUUCAUUAAUAUUAUCAUCAUCAUCUUCGUCGUUGCUGUCGUCAGAAUAUUGAUGUGCAUCUUUCACGCAUCCAUUUGAAUUCUUUGUGCACAUAUGUAACAUAAAUUUAUCAGCUGGAAUGAUUAAUCUUUUAGUUCCAUAAGGUGAAUAUUUUGGUAACUGUUUUUGGUUGCAUUUCAAACCAUACUCCUUUUAUAACGUUUGUUGCCUGCAAGUGGUGCUCUAAGUGGCAUCAUCUGUGCUAUUUCCAAGUAAUUUGCCACUGUCACAGAUUUUUCUCUUUGUUGAUAAAUGAGUACAAUGCGAAAAGUAGUGCAUAUUUUCUUUAGUCAUGUACUCAGUCUUCUCGAGUAGUUUUAAGUAAUAUUCAUCCAACUUUUCUUUCGAUAUAUUCGCCAUUUUGUUUGUAUUUAUAUCAAUUAUAGUCAUUACGUCAUGUCUUAUUUAAA
rnacentral:lncRNA from 1 species